rnacentral:rRNA from 1 species
AGAGUUUGAUCCUGGCUCAGGAUGAACGCUAGCGACAGGCUUAACACAUGCAAGUCGAGGGGCAGCGAGUUGGUAGCAAUACCGACGUCGGCGACCGGCGCACGGGUGAGUAACGCGUAUGCAACCUUUCCCAGACAGGGGGAUAGCCCAGGGAAACUUGGAUUAAUACCCCGUAGGCCGAGUGGCGGCAUCGCCGAUCGGUUAAAGUUCCGGCGGUCUGGGGUGGGCAUGCGUGCCAUUAGCUGGUUGGUGGGGUAACG